GACGAACGCUGGCGGCGCGCUUAACACAUGCAAGUCGAACGGAAAGGCCUGCUUUCCCUUGUGGAUUGCGGGUACUCGAGUGGCGAACGGGUGAGUAACACGUGAGUGAUCUGCCCCCAACUUGGGUAUAAGCCUGGGAAACUGGGUCUAAUUCCCGAUAGGACUGCAGGGUGGUGCCUGUGGUGGAAAACGAUUUUCUAGUGGUUGGGGAUGAGCUCGCGGCCUAUCAGCUUGUUGGUGGGGUAAUGGCCUACCAAGGCGGCGACGGGUAGCCGGCCUGAGAGGGUGGACGGCCACAUUGGGACUGAGAUACGGCCCAGACUCCGACGGGAGGCAGCAGUGGGGAAUAUUGCACAAUGGGCGGAAGCCUGCUGCAGCGACGCCGCGUGGGGGAUGACGGCCUUCGGGUUGUAAACUCCUUUCGACCGCGAGGAAGCCACCUGGUUGGAAGGGUGGUGACGGUAGUGGUAGAAGAAGCACCGGCUAACUACGUG
rnacentral:rRNA from 1 species